rnacentral:rRNA from 1 species
UACAGAGGUCCCAAGCGUUGUUCGGAUUCACUGGGCGUAAAGGGUGCGUAGGCGGUUGGGUAAGUCUGACGUGAAAUCUCCGGGCCUAACCCGGAAACUGCAUUGAAUACUAUCCUGCUCGAGGUUUGGAGGGGGGACUGGAAUUCUCGGUGUAGCAGUGAAAUGCGUAGAUAUCGAGAGGAACACCAGUGGCGAAGGCGAGUCCCUGGACAACACCUGACACUGAGGCACGAAAGCUAGGGGAGCAAACAGG